rnacentral:rRNA from 1 species
CCCUUCGAUACUCUGGGCGGCACGCGCGCUACAAUGGGAAGAGGAAAGUGUUACGUGCUCGAGAGAGCUAGUGAAUCAUGAAUAUAAGGUCGUGAGUGGGAUAGUUCAUUGCAAUUACGAACUUGAACAAGGAAUUCCUUGUAGGUGCACUGCAUCAUAGUGCGCCGAAUACGUCCCUGCCGUUUGUACACACCGCCCGUCGUUUCUUCCGACUGAUGCUCAUUGUGAAUUGCGAGGAGAGUUAAUUAAAUCGCUGUGAAUGCUGGACAUUGGAGGAGGAAAAAGUCGUAACA